GUAGUUAGCCGGGGCUUCCUCCUCAGGUACCGUCAUUUGUUUCGUCCCUGAGGACAGAGGUUUACAAUCCGAAGACCUUCUUCCCUCACGCGGCGUUGCUGGGUCAGGGUUUCCCCCAUUGCCCAAUAUUCCCCACUGCUGCCUCCCGUAGGAGUCUGGACCGUGUCUCAGUUCCAGUGUGGCCGAUCACCCUCUCAGGUCGGCUACCCAUCGCGGGCUUGGUGGGCCGUUACCUCACCAACUACCUAAUGGGACGCGAGCUCAUCCAUAAGCGAUAAAUCUUUGACCCCUCUGCCAUGUGGCAAUGUGGUCUUAUGCGGUAUUAGCAGCCGUUUCCAGCUGUUGUCCCCCUCUUAUGGGCAGAUUGCUCACGCGUUACUCACCCGUCCGCCACUAAGUCAUGAGAGCAAGCUCUCAUGCUUCGUUCAACUUGCAUGUGUUAAGCACGCCGCCAGCGUUCGUCCUGAGCCAGGAUCAAACUCUGA
rnacentral:rRNA from 1 species